UCAGGCUCCACUUGAUGUUUGGCUGUGGACCUCUGCAUCUGUUUCCAUCCACUGCUGGAUGAAGCCUCUCAGGAGACAGUUAUGCUAAGAUCUUGUCUGCAAGCAUCCCCACCCUGUCCUUUGCAAACGAAGAGAAGAUGAGCAGAAACUUAAAGCUGUCAGACUUGGUUACCUGCUACCAGCUCCGCUGCAGACCAGGUCCAUGGUCUAUCUAGUCUCAGAUGUUUGGCCACCCAAGCAGUGUCAGAGGCCUGCUGAUUUUCUAAGGAGAGAGAAAAAUUGUGGAUCCAGAUUGGAGUGGGAGAGGGGGGAAACUUGGAGGAGCUGGGGGAGGGGAAACCAUAAUCAGAGUAUAUUGUAUGAAAAAAAAUCUAUUUUCAACAAAAGAAAAAAAGAACUUAUCUUCCAUCCUAUGAUUUCUCCUGGUUGUGCAUACAAUGAUAUUUAAUAAAAAUCCAUGUCGUAAAUG
rnacentral:lncRNA from 1 species